rnacentral:rRNA from 1 species
UACGUAUGGUGCAAGCGUUAUCCGGAUUUACUGGGUGUAAAGGGAGCGUAGACGGUUGUGUAAGUCUGAUGUGAAAACCCGGGGCUCAACCCCGGGACUGCAUUGGAAACUAUGCAGCUAGAGUGUCGGAGAGGUAAGCGGAAUUCCUAGUGUAGCGGUGAAAUGCGUAGAUAUUAGGAGGAACACCAGUGGCGAAGGCGGCUUACUGGACGAUAACUGACGUUGAGGCUCGAAAGCGUGGGGAGCAAACAGG